GACAGAGGGUGCAAACGUUGCUCGGAAUCGCUGGGCGUAAAGGGCGUGUAGGCGGGAAGGAUAGUCAGAUGUGAAAUCCCCUGGGCUCAACCCAGGAACUGCAUUUGAAACUCCCUUUCUUGAGUACCGGAGAGGAAGGUGGAAUACCUGGUGUAGAGGUGAAAUUCGUAGAUAUCAGGUGGAACACCAGUGGCGAAGGCGGCCUUCUGGACGGUAACUGACGCUGAGACGCGAAAAGCGUGGGGAGCAAACAGG
rnacentral:rRNA from 1 species